CAGGUUCGAAUCCUGCACGACCCACCAGUUUUAGCAUCGAAGACAGAUGUUAAGCGUGUAGGAUAACGUUGCGUCAGCAACGGCCCGUAGGGCGAGCGAAGCGAGUCAUCCUGCACGACCCACCA
rnacentral:sRNA from 1 species